GAUGAACGCUGGCGGCGUGCCUAAUACAUGCAAGUCGAGCGAACAGAUAAGGAGCUUGCUCCUUUGAAGUUAGCGGCGGACGGGUGAGUAACACGUGUGUAACCUACCUAUAAGACUGGGAUAACUUCGGGAAACCGGAGCUAAUACCAGAUAACAUUUAGAACCGCAUGGUUCUAAAGUGAAAGAUGGUUUUGCUAUCACUUAUAGAUGGACCCGCGCCGUAUUAGCUAGUUGGUAAGGUAACGGCUUACCAAGGCGACGAUACGUAGCCGACCUGAGAGGGUGAUCGGCCACACUGGAACUGAGACACGGUCCAGACUCCUACGGGAGGCAGCAGUAGGGAAUCUUCCGCAAUGGGCGAAAGCCUGACGGAGCAACGCCGCGUGAGUGAUGAAGGGUUUCGGCUCGUAAAACUCUGUUAUUAGGGAAGAACAAAUGUGUAAGUAACUGUGCACAUCUUGACGGUACCUAAUCAGAAAGCAACGGCUAACUACGUG
rnacentral:rRNA from 1 species